GGUUGUUGUUGGUUGCUGUAAGUCAUAUAUAUUUGCUUUUUGUUUCGUUGCAUAUUUUUCUCAUGUUGGAAUCUUUUAAACCGAGCUUAUCCCCUAUUCAAUAUGGAUGUUGCUCAAUGUUUAAGGCAAAAUUGUUACAUAUAGUUGUGUAAAUCUACUUCAGACAUCUCUGUCAGAUAGUUAUCUUAUUGUCAAUUUUACCACAUAUACUUGUUUUAUAUAAUAAAAGAUUAU
rnacentral:lncRNA from 1 species